rnacentral:rRNA from 1 species
UGCGGUGUGAAAUUGAGCACACAUACCUGCUGAAUUUAAGCAUAUAAGUAAG